CGCCAUUUUGUGCGGGAGGCGGCGGGCGGCCCGGCAGCAGCGGUUCGUGAGGCGAGGGGGGGCCGGUGCCGGACUCCGGCUGCGGAGUCUCCUGUCGGGCGGAAAAGGCCUCGGCUGCCUUGUUCUCCCGUGGGGUGGGUACCGCUUGCCGGACAGUAGCGCUGGGAGAGGCUGUGGUGCUGCCCGGGGUCCUUGCAGACUCUUCCCUAGCAGCGCGUCCGACAGCCCAUUCACUCGAGUGAGGGCUCCCCUCACCUGAGAGGCUGCUGAGUUUGCAGACAGUGUAUGAAGCAUGUUUUUACCACGAUCUGUUAAAGUCAAGAGGACUGCUGAUGGGGACAAAAGUUGUACAGCUAAGAAAAAUAAACUGUCUUCUGAAGGAUCUUUGCUAGAGGAGACCACAGAAUUCCAGGAGUGUAAGUCAGGUAGAACAGAAACUUCUGCUUCAACAGACAGUUCAAGUGAAAUUGUACAAGAACACACAGAACCUGCAGCUGCAGGUGUUGCUCAUAUACCAUUGAGAAAGGACAGCCAAAAUACUGAGGAUGAUGGCUCUUCGGAAGAACCCAUAAAAUCCUUCAGCAAAUCCCAGCGCUGGGCAGAGCCUGGAGAACCUGUGUGUGUUGUGUGUGGCCGCUAUGGGGAGUAUAUCUGUGAUAAAACAGAUGAAGAUGUUUGUAGUUUGGAAUGUAAAGCCAAACACCUUCUACAAGCUCAAACAAAGGAAAAACAGCUAACAUCUGAUCAACCCACAGAUUCUCAAGCAGAAGCUCACCUGCUUAAUACACCUUACUUCUACAAAGAUCAUUCCUUUAUUUUAGGUUUGCAAGAUGAGCAGGUUGAGAACCUUAAACUCCAGCUAGGUAUUGCUGUCCAGGGCCAGCAAGUUCCAAGACCUAUUGUAGAGUUUGAACACUGUGGUUUUCCUGAAGCUUUAAACAAUAAUUUAAAGAAUUCUGGCUAUGAAGUCCCAACUCCCAUCCAAAUGCAAAUGAUCCCUGUUGGACUAUUAGGGAGGGAUAUUCUGGCUAGUGCUGACACGGGCUCUGGAAAAACAGCAGCUUUCCUGCUUCCUGUUAUUAUGAAGGUUUUGAAAGAGACAGAAACUCCAUCUGCCCUUAUUUUGGCACCAACGAGGGAGCUGGCAAUUCAGAUUGAGAGGCAAGCGAAGGAGCUGAUGGCUGGGUUACCCAACAUGAGGACAGUUCUGCUGGUGGGGGGUUUGCCCCUGCCCCCGCAGCUGCACCGCCUCAAGCAGAGUGUGAAGGUGAUAAUAGCAACACCUGGAAGACUUCUUGAGAUUUUAAAGCAAAGUUCUGUUCAACUGCAUGGCAUAAGAAUUGUCGUGGUGGAUGAAGUGGAUACCAUGCUAAAAAUGGGUUUCCAGCAGCAAGUAUUGGAUAUUUUGGAAGACAUCUCUCAUGAUCAUCAAACCAUACUGGUGUCAGCCACGAUUCCAGUGGGCAUUGAGCACUUGGCAAAUCAGCUUCUGCACAGUUUUGUCAGAAUAACAAUUGGAGAGAAGAAUCAGCCAUGUUCUAAUGUUCGGCAAAUUAUCUUGUGGGUAGAAGAACCAUCUAAAAAGAAAAAACUGUUUGAAAUACUAAAUGAUAAGAAGCUCUUCAAGCCUCCAGUGUUGGUGUUUGUGGACUGUAAACUAGGAGCAGAUCUGCUGAGUGAUGCUGUUCAUAAGAUUACGGGAUUACAGUGCACAGCUAUGCAUUCUGAAAAGUCUCAGCUGGAAAGAACAGACAUAUUAGAGGGAUUACUUCAAGAGAAGUAUGAAGUUAUAGUAAGUACUGGAGUCCUUGGACGAGGGCUUGACCUCGUCAAUGUCAAACUGGUGGUGAAUUUUGAUAUGCCUUCAAGUAUGGAUGAAUAUGUACACCAGAAAAGAUGAUCUGUGAGUUGCACGUGUGUGUGCACAGUCCCCAGACCUAGUUUAGCUGGCACAUCAAGAGAACUCAUUCUUGCCCUCUUUGCGGCAUGAGGAAGACACAAUGCUACUGUGUGCAGUCCUGAGAACAUCAGCCAUGGGAAAAGGCAGCAAACUGGAGGCAGUCCAGGUGAAGUCAGGGGGCUGGCACACGUGACACUUCAGGACAGGCUGAGGCAACUGGGCUUGUUUGGGCUGCACUAGAGACUUAAUUGCUCUCUUCCAUUUAGGUGAUUACAGAGGAGACAGAGCCAGACUCUCCUUGAAGAUGCCCAGGGAAAGGACAAGAGCCAGAAUUGUAACUUCCUGCAAGGGAAAUUGUGGCCUCAUAGGAGGGAGAAAGGAUUUACACAGCAAGAGGGGUCAGGCAGUGGAAGAGGCCAGAGGGAUGAUGGGAUUUUUAUGCUUCAAACACUUGAAACAAGGCCUUGAGGGAACUGAUCUGACUUUGAAGUAAACCUUGUUCUGAUCAGAUGAGGAGCACCUCUGGAAGUUAUCCACUGUAAUGGACUCCUCAAGUAGCCUGUGUUAUUAACUGCAGUAUUCCCCUCUAUUUUUAAUUACCUUUCUGCUAAAAUUUCAAGCAUGUAUUAGGUAGAUAAAAAUGGUCUUCCCUAGCAUCAAAAUGAUACCAAUAUUAACAUGUUUGGUGUUCCUAAAUAGAGAGUCUUUGUAGAUUCUUUUCUAAUUUGUUCAAGCAGCUUAGAUAAUGCUGGUAAAUAAUUUAAAUUUACUAGAACAUUGAAAGUAAAGGGCAUUUUUAUGGCCAUGCUGGCACAUAUUGUGCUUGAUAUGAAGUAUAAGUAUUUGGCAUCUCUACAGUAUUUUUUGAGCCCUUUUGUUUGAAUCAGAUUUACUGUAAGCCUUUGCCCAUACUCUGUACCUCAUACCUCAGUAUCGAUAUUGGAUUUCUGGUAUGUCACAUAAACAAGUCAUAACUUUAGAUGCAUUUCAGUUACAGCUUCAGAUCUACAUAUCCUGAAUUCAGGAAGUUUAUUGUUGGAAGAGCAGGGAGAUUGGGUCACAGUGGAACUGCAAUUACUUUUAUCAAUAACAACAGCAAGAAGCUCUUUUGGGAUGUUGUGAAGAGAGUAAAACCCACAGGCACCAUUCUUCCCCCACAGCUGCUUAAUUCCCC